rnacentral:tRNA from 1 species
GCCUUAGUAGUAUAAUUAAUACACUGGUCUUGUAAAGCAGAAAUGGAGAAUAAUAUAUCUCUAAGACA